rnacentral:rRNA from 1 species
GACAGAGGUCCCAAGCGUUAGGCGGAAUCACUGGGCUUAAAGCGUGUGUAGGCGGAUUUGUAAGUACCUUGUGAAAUCCCACGGCUCAACCGUGGAACUGCUUGGUAUACUGCUUAUCUUGGGUCAUCUAGGGGCGAGCGGAACAAACGGUGGAGCGGUGAAAUGCGUAGAUAUCGUUUGGAACGCCAAUGGUGAAAACAGGUAGCUGGGAGUGUGCUGACGCUGAGACACGAAAGCCAGGGGAGCAAACGGG